GACGAACGCUGGCGGCGUGCUUAACACAUGCAAGUCGAACGGUGAAGCGCCUUCCUUUUUGGUGGGUGUGGAUGAGUGGCGAACGGGUGAGUAACACGUGAGUAACCUGCCCCCUUCUUCUGGAUAACCGCAUGAAAGUGUGGCUAAUACGGGAUAUUCUGGGUCUGUCGCAUGAUGGGUCUGGGAAAGAUAUUGUUUCGGUGGGGGAUGGGCUCGCGGCCUAUCAGCUUGUUGGUGGGGUGAUGGCCUACCAAGGCGGUGACGGGUAGCCGGCCUGAGAGGGUGGACGGUCACACGGGGACUGAGACACGGCCCAGACUCCUACGGGAGGCAGCAGUGGGGAAUAUUGCACAAUGGGCGCAAGCCUGAUGCAGCGACGCCGCGUGGGGGAUGGAGGCCUUCGGGUUGUGAACCUCUUUCGCCAGUGAAGCAGGACUGCCUCGUUUGUGGGUGGGUUGACGGUAGCUGGAUAAGAAGCGCCGGCUAACUACGUG
rnacentral:rRNA from 1 species